rnacentral:rRNA from 1 species
GGGAGCGCGGAGNUUAUCUGGCUUCGGCUCUACUCUCCCCCCAGUUGUGAACGUACCUGCUGUUGCUUUGGCGUGCUCCGGGCGCCAAAUGACGUCCGAACUCCAGUCAGUAAACGCACACGUCUGAUAAACAAGUUAAUAAACUAAAACUUUCAACAACGGAUCUCAUUGGUUCUGGCAUCGAUGAACAACGCAGCAUCUCUUGG